UUAUACCAAACUUAAUACGAUAGUACUAUAAUAGCUUAGUAUAAUAUAACAAUCUUUUAUUUUAAUUAUGUCUGUCAUUGGUACUUGAUUGACUUACCUUAAUUAAAUUUUAACUUAUUUUUAAACUAUUAGCUAUUUCUGUUUCUUUCUUAUAAAGUUGUCGUUGCCUUGUGCUUGUGCUUGUCGGUUUUACCUAUAAUUUUGGAGCUAAUCUAUACAUUAUUGAUAAGAAAUCAUUAUUGUUUAUAAUUUCUACAAUUCUAUCCUUCAACGCUGUGUCGCUCGCUUGGAAUCGUUACACGGCGCGUGUUAGUAUCAUCUAAUUCUUCGUUACAUUGUCAAUGCUUAUUAUAACUACCUUUACUUAUCCUAAAACUUUUUCUGUUGGUCAUUGGUAAUAUCUGCUUCAGUACUCCGUUUUGAUGGUUUACCUCAGUAGUUAUUGCCUUCGGUAUUCUUGUACCUGUGAGUAGAGUGGUCUCAAAAUUUUCCACUGGGCAACCCUGACAGUUAUGUUCUACGGAAUGGGUCCAUAACCUGUCUUUGUACGUACACUUCCUUCUAUGAUGAUUAAUUCUUCACAAGGCAAUUCAUGGAGUCGUAAGCAAGAACGAAUAUAUCUAUUGGCGAUGGUGUUCCCUGUGGACAACAAGCGUGGCUUCGUAGGUCUCGCCCAAAGAUGAGCUAUGUGCUAACAGUGGGAAGAGAAACACGAAAACCAUAGGUGUUUUCUGUGAUUGAAAACCCGUAAUCACUAGUUGAUACAGCGAACGAUUAUUGUGAAUUCAAUAUGUUUCAAAUAAAAUCCACGUAAAUUGUA